GGGGCCUUAGCUCACCUGGUAGAGCGUCUGAUUUGCACUCAGAAGGCAGGGAGUUCAAGUCUCCCAGGCUCCAC
rnacentral:tRNA from 1 species